UACGUAGGGGGCAAGCGUUGUCCGGAAUCAUUGGGCGUAAAGAGCGUGUAGGCGGCCCGAUAAGUCCGCCGUGAAAGUCCAGGGCUCAACCCUGGAAUGCCGGUGGAAACUGUCGGGCUGGAGUCCGGAAGAGGCGAGUGGAAUUCCUGGUGUAGCGGUGAAAUGCGCAGAUAUCAGGAGGAACACCAAUUGCGAAGGCAGCUCGCUGGGACGUUACUGACGCUGGAGACGCGAAAGCGUGGGGAGCAAACAGG
rnacentral:rRNA from 1 species